rnacentral:tRNA from 1 species
AUACAGAUAACUCAGCUGGUAGAGUGCUUGUCUAGCAUGCAGGGAGCCCUGGGUUCGAUCCCAGCCCUGCAUG